rnacentral:rRNA from 1 species
ACAGAGGGUGCGAGCGUUAAUCGGAAUUACUGGGCGUAAAGCGUGCGUAGACGGUUACAUAAGUCGGGUGUGAAAGCCCCGGGCUCAACCUGGGAAUUGCAUUCAAGACUGUCUUGCUAGAGUGUGGAAGAGGGAAGCGGAAUUCCAGGUGUAGCGGUGAAAUGCGUAGAUAUCUGGAGGAACAUCAGUGGCGAAGGCGGCUUCCUGGUCCAACACUGACACUGAGGUGCGAAAGCGUGGGGAGCAAACAGGA